AAAAGAAAAGGAAGGAAGGAAGGAAAAUAAAGAAACAAAGAAAGAAAGAAAGAAAGAAGGAAGGAAGAAGAAAGAAUAAAUCAGCUAGCUCAGCAAGCUUUCUUAACGCUAAGUGAGAGAACUUAAGGGCACUGUCCAAGCUGAGGGGACAAGUGAACCCCAGAGCCUAGGAUUAGUAUCCAGUUCGGUCUAAUGUAGAAGCCCACGCGCCAUGCUGGCUCCCUACGCUGGUGGCCACCAUGAGAAGCUUCGGCCUCGUCCCCUUGGGUCUCCUCCCAGGCCUCUCCCUGCCCCAAGGAGGCGAACAGGGCUCUGCUUAACGACAGCUCUUGCUGGACCAUCAUCGGCACCGAGUCGGUGGAAUUUUCCUUCAGCACCAGCCUGGCGUGUACCCUGGAGCCGGUUACUCCGGUGCCUCUCAUCAGCACCCUAGAGCUGAGCGGCGGGGGCGACGUGGCCACGCUGGAGCUCCACGGAGAGAACUUCCACGCGGGGCUCAAGGUGUGGUUUGGGGACGUGGAGGCAGAAACCAUGUACAGGAGCCCGCGGUCCCUGGUGUGCGUGGUGCCGGACGUGGCGGCCUUCUGCAGCGACUGGCGCUGGCUGCGCGCUCCCAUCACAAUCCCCAUGAGCCUGGUGCGCGCCGACGGGCUCUUCUACCCUAGUGCCUUCUCCUUCACCUACACCCCGGAAUACAGCGCGCGGCCGGGUCACCCCGGCGUCCCCGAGCCCGCCACCGACGCCGACGCGCUCCUGGAGAGCAUCCAUCAGGAGUUCACGCGCACCAACUUCCACCUCUUCAUCCAGACUUAGGCGCGCCCGGUAGCCCCGGCUGCCCACCGCGGAAGGCUGCGCCUGCGCCAGGCGCGGGGACGUGUUUCUGGGUUCUAGGCCCUGCUUCCUUGCCCCUUUGCUGCAGAAGGGCAGCUGAAGGCUCACCCUAGAAACCGGGCCUGGUGGGUCUUACCCGGCUCACUCCCUCCCUUGUCCUUACACAUACAGGAAGACAAGACCUGAGUGGUGCUGUCUUUGUGUCCAUCGUGUAUGGCUCUCCCUGUCUUCAUUUCUUCUCACUCUGUCUCUAAACCUCUCUCUCUCUCCCUUCCCCCUCAGUACUUAGUCUACAGACCUAUGUGCGUGUCCCUAUGCUUCUGUCCUUUUCUCUCUUCAUCUCUCCCUGCCUCUCACACACAAUUUCACAUGCCCCGAGGAGCCAAGUUUGGGACAUUUACCCUCCAGGCAUCUGUGUCCCCUCUUGAAGAGAAAACACACAGCUUCACACAUCCAGGCAUAGGGGGCAAGCUCUUGGGGCAUCAGGACCCUGGAGCACCAGGUCCUUCCCGGAAUAUUAGAUCCACCUGGAGCACCGGGUCUCUCUGAGUCUCACCUGGGGCAUUCAGUCUCACCUGGGGCACCAGUUCCCACCUAGAGCACUGUGUCCUGCCCUAGAGCACAAAGACCUGCUCCUCCCGAGACUCUCUCUGACUGCAGCCAGGCAUAGUACCCUUGCCUGUGUUUGCUCCCUGGUCCACAGGUUUGGUGGCUGGGCAGGUGCCUGGACAGUGAUGAGGUCUUGCCGCCUUAACUGUCCCCCCCAGUCACUUCUCCCACAGGCCCAGCAGGACGCAGUCCUGAGGAUCAGGGAUUCUACAGCUGCAUUAAAAUCAAUCCUAUCCAA
rnacentral:sRNA from 1 species